CCUACGGGCGGCAGCAGUGAGGAAUAUUGGUCAAUGGACGAGAGUCUGAACCAGCCAAGUAGCGUGAAGGAUGACUGCCCUAUGGGUUGUAAACUUCUUUUAUAUGGGAAUAACAUGUUCCACGUGUGGGAUUUUGUAUGUACCAUAUGAAUAAGGAUCGGCUAACUCCGUGCCAGCAGCCGCGGUAAUACGGAGGAUCCGAGCGUUAUCCGGAUUUAUUGGGUUUAAAGGGAGCGUAGGUGGAUUGUUAAGUCAGUUGUGAAAGUUUGCGGCUCAACCGUAAAAUUGCAGUUGAAACUGGCAGUCUUGAGUACAGUAGAGGUGGGCGGAAUUCGUGGUGUAGCGGUGAAAUGCUUAGAUAUCACGAAGAACUCCGAUUGCGAAGGCAGUUCACUGGACUGCAACUGACACUGAGGCUCGAAAGUGUGGGUAUCAAACAGGAUUAGAUACCCGAGUAGUC
rnacentral:rRNA from 1 species